CCUGGUCCCACCUUGCAGAAGAGGUUCCCUGGCCUGUUCACCCCAUCCCAGCACCCCAAUACCUCUGUGCCCAUACUGAGGUGCAGGUUUAAAGCCCUGAUGGGGCAUGCUGGGCUCUGGAUGGGAAUUCCCAGUGCUCUCAGUUAUAGCUGAGUGCUGGGGAGCUCAGCUGACAUCCCAGGGCCUGCUCCCAGCCCUACCUCUCCCUGCUUUAUAGCCUGCCUCUGCUCUGGGGGAAACCUUGAGCCAAGGGGGAACAUGGCUCAGCUGCUGAUUUCAAUGUCUAUAGUGUCCUCACAGGCAUGGUGGCACCACCUGGCGUUGACCCAUCACCACCACAACCCACUGCUCUGUGUCCCUCUCCCCUGCAUGGGGAGCAGGUCUUGUGGGGCCUCUGGAAUGUCUGGAUACCACUGUGGGCAGUGUCGUGCACUGCUCUGGGCUCAGCUUCUCCAGCUGGUGCUGGUGGCCCAGAGGGUUGCACUGGGCUGUACACAGGGCCCUGGGAUACAGGGUUCCUGUAGGGUAACCACCAGCCCAUGCAUCACUUGAACAUCCAGCUUUUGGGAAGGAGGGCAGCUCAGCAGGAAGGCAAUGAUGACAGGGACAUUGGAGGGGAAACACUGGGGGUGGGAGGGGACAGUGGCUGCAACCUGCCUCCUUCUGCCAUCCCUAUAAAUGGGAGGGAGCAGGAGCAGGGUUGCACCUGCGGGACUCCAGCUCUGCAGGAGAGGCAGGCAGGCAGGGAGGGAGGGACAGACAGACAGAGCUGCUCUCACCUCCCUUUGAGCUUCCCAGUGCUCUGCCUGUGUGGACGCCUGAGGCAUGAAGACCAGGGGAUGGCCACUUUCUACCUUCGUGGGAUGCUGCAUAUGGAUUCUGCACGGGCUUGGGGCUGCUGCUGCAGUCCCUGUUACUACCGAGGGGCCAUUUGCUACAGGGACAGCUUCUUCCAUCACAACAGAGAGCGAGGGGCCCGGUGCCCUGGUGAUGGGCACUGUGGAGACAAGCACCUUGGCCACUGAUGCUGAGACAGUAGAGACGAUCCUCACAGAGAGUCCACCAAGCCCAUCCUUUCCUCCUGGGGCUGAGCCGAAUGCUUUGGUGACAGCAGCGAGUGAAUACGGCUCUACAGCACCACCUUUGACAAACGUGACCAAGCCUCUUAAUAUGACUCAGGAUUUUGAGAGGGGUUCUGCUGCUCCUGCUGCAGCCACGACCGCUGCUGCCAUCUCUGCACAGCACCCUGCUGUUACCCCCAAGCAGAGCUUGAGGUAACAGCAGCCAGACCCGACAUCCCCCUUGGGACCACCCCUCUCUUUCCAGAUAUAAAGGAGGA
rnacentral:lncRNA from 14 species